rnacentral:lncRNA from 1 species
GGCUCUUUUUGCCUGCCGCCAUCCACGUAAGGUAUGAUUUGCCCCUCCUUGCCUUCUGCCAUGAUUGUGAGGCCUCCCCAGCCACGUGAAACUAAGGAGAGUGCAUGAGAUUAUAUAAAGACUCAGAGAAGAGAUACAGCUCCUCCCGCACCAGAGAAAUGCAGCUCCGUGAGCCCCGAUGGAGCCAGCAUGCUGCUGGGUGCUGAGGAGCAGGCAGAGGCACCCAGGAUGGCGGUCCCCAAGGAGAACGGAGGCACAGAACAACGCAUGAGGGGCCACAUGACUUAGGGCCGGGAUCGGUCACUCAGCCAGCAAAAACACUGGAAGAAAACAAAACAACUUCAGACUCUAUGCUGCAUUUCCGUAAUAUAUCUGCCCAAAGACUGGACAACAAAGGUAAAGGAGGCUGAUGAGGAAACGAAAGGAUCCGUGGUUCUUGGCUCGCUGGGUGGCUCAUCAACAAAGCCCCAGCAUCACUCCUGCAGAUGCCCUAGCCUGGCCUGGGCUGGGAUGGGCAAAAUUCACCAUGGGACUCUUGUUCAAGAGAGGGAGAUCAAAGCCAGAAACACUUACCCAGAAUGGCCAUGCAGACUAAAAUUCCAAUUCUAAAAAUACUUUUAAAAUGUAACGUACAACAAAGGAAAGCUGGAAAAAUAUUUAAAAAAGGAUGAAAGGGCAAGAAAAAUUCAACCCACGACCUCAAGGCGAUUAUAAUCUGUGUUCUGCUGCUUCCCAGAGCCGCUUCAGUCUUCAGCUCAGAGUCUACCAGACACUAAAAUGCAACUGAACACUCAGUUCAUACUUGUUCUUCUAAUUAGCUGCCUCUUCCAUUUGAUUAAUAUUGCCUCCUAAUUUAAUUGUAAAUUGUAUUUCUGGUUUAUAUUUCGCUUCUCCCUCCUGUUGUACCUGGUGACCAUCUUCAUUAAUCAUAUUGUAGCUUUUUAAUGAAUCUCAUAUGCCAAUUUAUGGUGAACAAGACUUGAUAUGAAGGCAUCUUCAUCAAAUCAUUCAUAAUCUUGUAACUAUUGGUUUAUUUUCUGUAACGACCUAUAAAUGUACACCAAAAAAAUGAAAGAUUCCCCCUAAAAUGUAAUGGGACAGAACUUUGUUUACGUAGAUUUCUGAGGAUGGGUUGAGACGCCAAAUUCCGCUUGUGUUUGGAAUUUCUAUUUCACUGGGCUUAGUGAGGGUGCCCAUGUUUUGCAAUCCUGUGCUCUAGAAUCUAUCAUAAACAGAUUCUUCUAAUUGUUUGACAUUAAACUGCAAAUUUGUGUUUUUGUGUCUGCUCAAAUAUAAAAUGUCUUUGGGAAAAA